rnacentral:tRNA from 1 species
GGGAGACUAGGUAAAACUAGCCCAAAAGCGCCGCACUGAAGAUGCGGUUGUCGAGGGUUCAAAUCCCUCUCCCC